ensembl:lncRNA LINC-PINT long intergenic non-protein coding RNA, p53 induced transcript
GUCACAUGAUGGACAUGAUAUAAUGAAACAACAUUGUGGAGAGGAAAGCAUUAGGGGAGCCCACGGCUACAAAAACAAGUGAGUGAGAAGAGGUGGGAGGAAGAGAAACUACGCCACCUCCCCUGCAGCCGAGUGCACGCAGCAGCCUGGCGUGACAAGUGGGCGACGCCGGGGGGCAGGGAGCCGGGGUCCUUGGCCCUGGCCGGGGACCCCACCGCCCACCGCGCGGAGGACAACUUUUAGCCGGCAGCCCAGACCAGCGCGGCACCUGUCUCCGGAGUCUCCACCGCUCCUCCCGAUUCAUCCCAGGGAAAUUCUCAAGAAUACGCUCUACAAAUCUACGUGCGCAUCAUUUUCACCUCGCGUCGCGCCCGGGAGGAAGGAACGAGGCAAGGAGCUAAAGCAGCGUGCGUUCAGCCCUGGGGCAUUUUAUUAAUGCUUUUACGAGUUAGAAGAGUUGGGAUAAUUUGCCAUCUGGAGUUUCUCUGCCUUGCUGAUCUGAGCUCAGACCUGCCAAUUUACCAGAGAUAAUUGAUAACACCCUGUAACAGCUGAAGACAGAGUCUUACCCUGUCACCCAGGCUGGAGUACAAUGGUGCGAUCUCGGCUCACUGCAACCUCUGCCUCCUGGGUUCAAGUGAUUCUUCUGCCUCAGCCUCCUGAGUAGCUGGGACUACAGGAGGAAAAUGGAAGAAACGGAGAUACUUUUAGUGAAGCAGAAUAAACCACUGAACAGGAAAAAUGAGGAAGCUGUGAGUACCAGUGGAAGGAACGAGCCAGGAAGAGGGACUGGAACCAUCUCAGAAGCCAUGCCCCUCAGGCUGGAACUUGCCCUGUCUCCUCGCAGAUGAGCUACCUCUUGUGUUUAAGAAUUAAAGGAAGAUGAGCUAGGAAUCAAGAAAUACGCAGAACUGAUUCCUGUCACUGGCGCCACCCUGCCACUUGCCCAGAGCUGUGGUAUAAAUUUUUUUAAUAGGCUGAAAUAAAAAUAUGAAUAGCAUUUUGGUAUUAAGCAUUAAAUUGAUAAAGGCUAUGAGAUACACCUGCUCUCAACCAUGUUAAUUUUUUAUUAUUGGUAUUAAUAAAUUAUUACUUACUAACAUAUUAACAAGAAUUGCAUUGAGAAACAAAGCAUCCACAGGCCAAAUCUUCUGAAUUUCAAAUGUUUAUAUUAAUGCGUUGUAUUCUAGAAAAGUAGAAUUGUCUUAAGUAGCUUUGUAAUAUAAAGUCAUCUAUCAGCCCAUUACACCUAUUAGAAUGUUUUAACCUUUAUUUCCCACUUUUUUGUUUCUAGACUGAGUGUACUUGGUCUGGUAUUUGUGGCAUAACUUACGGAACACAUAAGAAUGAUACAGAUACUAUUUAAUGAUGACCUAAUACAAGCUUAGAUAGCUAAGGUGAAAGCUUCUAUGGCCUUAACAUUUUCCUCUUGAAGAAUGUAUUUUCUGUAAUAAAAUACAGUGGCUACUUGAAAUCUAUAAACUUAUGUGAGGUCUGGAUAAAUCUGAGCAACUUUCUUCUUUGUGCUCCAGGAACCUACGCACUAUAUAUAUAAAUAAAGCUUAAGUAAACAUCACUGCAA